CCGUGUUCUUGUGUUUUGGAACCCCACCUUCCGAACGGAGCCUCAGUGAUAAUUAUUGUAAGGAGGUAGCUGCUGUUGUGCACAUUUUUGGAGCCGUGGCGAUCCAACGCCGAGUUUCCACGGAAGGAGGGAUGCAAGAGAGAAAAGAUAGCAUGAACCAUUCGAACAAAAAUAGGUAUCGAGGAAAGAAAGGAACCAUUUAUUUUCCUUUUGAUCUUUGAUGGUGAAGUUUUUGCAUAUAAUUUGUUGGUGGGAGUUUCCUA